CUUUUUUUUAACUUUUAUUUUAGGUUCAGAGGUAUACAUGCAGGUUUGUUACACAGGUAACCUGCAAGUCACUGGGGUUUGGUGGACAGAUUCUCUCAUCACACAGGUCAUAAGCAUAGUGUGCGACAGGUCGUUUUUCAGUCCUCACCCUCCUCCCACCCAGUUCCUGGCCUGGUGGGUACCUCCAGCCACGAGGGGAGCACAGUUUGGUGCUCAGCAAAUGCCCAGACUUGGGGGUUCUUGUUUCCAUAUCUAGGUUCAUUUUUCCAACCCAACCAGUCUCCCAGUAGGAGGGAGGGAAAGGAGUGGAGGAGGUUAGCGUAGGGAUCUUCCAGCAGACACGUGGCCAGGGCACUGCUGCCCAUUGCUCUUCCUUCCCUGCACCUUCCUGAGGGGCACCAGCCCCCACUGGCCAUUAGGCCUAAGCUCUGGCUUAGAAGUCCAUCUUGGCCUGGAUACCUUGGCCUUGAAGACUACAAGAGAUUCCCCUGGGUAGGGAAGAGGCCAGAGGUGGCGUGUAGGUCCUGCUUAGGUUGUGGGAACCCCCUGAAAUUCCUCACUGCUGACUACCUGCCUGAGGGUUGGUGAACACCAGGGCCUUGGUAGAACUGGUUCUGCCCACCUUUCUCUAAUAAGAGUGGAGGCUCCAAAUGCUGUGCAGUGACUUGGGCUCCAGAAUUUCCCUAGCCUGUGCUGGGGAGACCCCACCACAUCUCAUCCAGGGUCCUAGCUGUGUGUCUUCCACAAUGACUGCAUCCCUGCAGCUCUGUAGAGUCAGAAGGAGGCAUGGAGAGAUUGCCAGGCUGACCCUCUCUGGUCUGUUUCCAGGCGUCUCACUUCUUCUGGGCUCUCUGGGCCCUCAUCCAGAACCAGUACUCCACCAUCGACUUUGAUUUCCUCAGGUACGCAGUGAUCCGAUUCAACCAGUACUUCAAGGUGAAGCCUCAGGUGUCAGCCUUGGAGAUGCCAAAGUGACCAGCCACCCCAUCGCUCCCCACCCAUCUGUCUGGCCAAACCUGUUCCCCAGAGCUCAAUUCUGCGCUCUGGGGUCCACAUCCUUGGACAAGGUGGGAGAGGGGACAGGUGGGUGUCCAGGGAGAAGGCUCUGUCCCUGCUGCCAGCCCCCUGUGGUGGCCACUGAAGACCUCAUUCUCCUGUCCGGAUGGGCUGACAGGACCCACUUCUGGGAGUCCCCUCCCACCAGGCUUGGGAGGAAGUGCCUGCAGCCAGGGCCUGGGCCAUAACCACCCCUGGGAAACAUCAUUCCCAGACUCAGGCCCUGCUGGAAUUGGGGCUGCCUUACAUGUGUCUUUACCCCUUCCUGGCCUGGGGAAGGAGGCGGGGAGGGCUCCUUUCUACCUCCAGUGCCCUGAGCCUCCAGCCCGUCUCCCCCGGCAUGCCCCAUGUGGGAGGUGCUGAGCUCCAAACCAGCAUCACGCCAACCCUGACACAUGGAUGUACAUAUCUUGGUGAUGGGUGGGGGCCAAGAAUUGAGCAUGACAGCUCCCCCAGCAGCCACCUCAUCUGAGACCCUUCACCUUCUCCAAACCGGAUCCAAUCAAACGACCUCUUCCCAAACCUCAGCCCCAGGAAACAGGCUCCCCAACGUGCUCUCCUGUGCUUGUUCUGUUCCCCUGCUGGGGGGACAGGAGAGGGAGUGGUAAGGCCCUGGGCCUCUAGAGCCUGGCUCUGCGUCAUACUAUGGCUUGGCCGGAGGGGACAUGGCCAAGGAUGAGGUGGCCAAAACCAGAACCAGCAGUCUCCUGCCUUGUUCCCUCCCUGGCCUCAAGGCCUCCUUCCAGGGAUGCCUCUCCAGCUCUACCUUAUGUCCUGAAGCUGACCUGAGGUCUUCCUAUCUGGGAAUGACUAGUGGGAGCCAAGAGGAUGGGGUGGGGGCCAGGGCCCCCCAGGACCCAGCGUGGGAGGCUGGGCAGGAUCCCAUCAGAAAGGUGCUGACUGGGCUGGUCGCCCGGACGCUGAACAGCCUCCACCUCCUUUCGGCCCUCAGAGCUCCUUGGGCCCUUCUGGCUCUGGCCCAGAAAGUGAUUCAUUUGUAAAUUAUCAUGAUUUCUGCAUUAAAAUGCUCAUUUCCGGA